AAGCCUCAGCUUCUAUGCAAAAAGUCCUACCUGCACCAAAAUUCAGACUUAGCUCCUCUUUGAGCUGCAUGAAAAUUUCUUUACAUAGGUUUCUGAAAACCCGGAGGGAGGAACUGUGUUUGCUCACCAUUGCCCUCAUGAACUCCUUCAGCAUUUACAAUGACAGAUUCCCUAACCAGCUGACAGGGAAUGGUUGGUUAAUCAGCCACAUCUUGUCCAUCUGGCUCCUU
rnacentral:misc_RNA from 1 species